GAUUCCAGGUUAUGUGGUGAAGCUGAACCAUUGCUGGCAUUCCUCAGAGAGAAAUUUUCAUUAGAAAUGAUCAAUGGAAGAAAUGAUCCGACGACAAAAGGAGGUACGACUAUUGAUGCGGUAUUUGCGAGAAAUAUAGAUAAAAUAGAUAUAUGAAUCCGUCAGAACCCAGAGAUGAUCAUUGAUUUGGACUUUGCUUUAUAAUAAAUUUAUAAAAUGUGAAUUGAAGAAAGUGUUGGUCACUCCACCUUAUUUUUAUCCUUUCCCUCCCGCUAUUUUUCUUUUAUAC